rfam:Rhizobium sp. Root708 contig_12, whole genome shotgun sequence.
GAAGAUAGCAGUAGCUCUUAUUGUGGUGGGACAGCGCAUGGGCAGGAUGGUGUAACCAUCCGGCGGUAGCCACCCAUGCGCUAGAUGACAGGCUCCGAAGGGGCCUUUUUUUAUGCCUGAAA